ensembl:lncRNA
GAGUAUCACCCCGCAGAUGACUUGAUUAUGAACAAGAAAAAUAUACCUUACAAUGAAGAAAUCCAGCAGUCACCAACUUAACUUAGUGAUCACGCUUAGCACUACUAAUGGUGGAACAACCUGGCUUUAUAGGCCUCUUGAUUUGAUGCAACAUGAUGUAACAGUAUCACCUAUGAAGGAACCUUGCCAAAAGUGCUUAACCUGAAUAUAAUCAAGCCUUUUGACCCAACUUCCAGUUUACAGGAAAUGCACGGAGAGAGGAACAACUACAAUGAUCCUGGGAGGAGAAUCAGACAAAUCCAGAAUGUGGGACAUUCUAUAAGAAAACUGGCCUAAAUUCUUCAACAGGGAGUUGAAAGUGAUUUUUCCACUUUGUGUGCAGUUUCUGUAAGGGAGGAAGAAGCUUCACAUAACAACCUAUGAUUUGUACCCGCCUCUGCCUUGUUGUCAAGCCUCUACCUCUGACAAUGACCAUAUCCCCCUUCCUUCAUUUAGAAGGCCUUUGGAGUGGCCACUGUUGCUGUGGUUUCUCAACUGGCUCGAGAUUAAAGUUGGGCUUCUGUUAUCCCGAAGCCACUGAGACCACACCUGUCAAGAUGACCAGUGAUGUCUGCGUGGCCCCAGUCCAGUGAUUCCUGCUCUAUUCUGAACUCAGCUGGCCUUGCAGCAGCAUUUGACAGAGCUGACCAUGCCGAGAGUUGGAGGGAGAGCCUUCCAGGGAGAGGGGAUUGCAAACACAAAGGUCCAGAGAUGGGAACAUGCUUAGUGGGAUCAAGAGACAGAAAAAAAAAAGGCUGGUGUGGCUGGAGCACAGAGAGGGAGGGGUAUGAGCUGAGCAGGCAAGGGUCUGCAGGGGCCAAGUCACGUGGUGCCUUGUCAACUAGAGUAAAUCUUCAGCGCCUGGCCUAGCCCAGGACAGGUGCCCAAGGUUAGUCUUAUCAUUGUUAUUAUUAAGAGCUUAAUAGCACACAGUGUGAGAGAGUGGGAAGGGGGCCUGGUAGGGAAAAGAAGAGAAAAUGCCAGGCCUUGAAUAGCUUCCUGUCUAGUUGAGGGUCUAGGUUAUACCUGUUUCGUAGGUAAGUGGACAAGACAGCCUGCAUGCUGAUUUCUUGACUAUCCAUUUGUCUUUAUUGCCCUCCCCACCACAUACACACUUUCCUGGUGAAUUAUGUCCCAUCUAGGGAUUCUCUCGGGAUAAUUAAGGUUUAAUUUUUCACUUGAAAGAGAGCAAAAGUGGGCUGUGAGUCUCAGUGAAGAAAGAGAUGACUAAGAAUAUACCAGCCAUGAGAUCACAGUGUGGGCUGGGGACAGAGACAGCCCUGGUGUCCUCUCUGCUUUUCCAGACUACUCAGAGUAAACCCCUCCAAAUAAAUAAGAACUGGUCUCUGCUGCUUCAUUUGAACUGAGCUGCGAAUCACACAAAAGAAAUCAGACUCUAGAAGCAGCCCUUUGGAUUCCUGAUGCAACAUGCGUGACCUAAAGCAGGUGUGUUUUUAUCUUCUUGGUGUCCUUGCCACACACAUCCCUACCAUAGGCAUGCUUGCAGGUGCAUGCACACACACACUCAACACCCCCCCC